rnacentral:rRNA from 1 species
GUCCUAGCCGUAAACGAUGGAUACUAGGUGUGGGUGUCGCAGGGCAUCCGUGCCGCAGUUAACGCGUUAAGUAUCCCGCCUGGGGACUACGGUCGCAAGACUGAAACUCAAAGGAAUUGACGGGGGCCCGCACAAGCGGUGGAGCACGUGGUUUAAUUCGAUGCAAACCGAAGAACCUUACCUAGGCUUGACAUACAAGUGGUACAGAAGUGAAAGCGGAAGGACCCUAGCUUGCUAGGGAGCUUGAACAGGUGCUGCAUGGCUGUCGU